UCGGGAAUUUUGGGCAAUGGGCGAAAGCCUGACCCAGCAACGCCGCGUGAGGGAUGAAGUAUUUCGGUAUGUAAACCUCGAAAGAAUGGGAAGAAUAAAUGACGGUACCAUUUAUAAGCUCCGGCUAACUACGUGCCAGCAGCCGCGGUAAUACGUAGGGAGCAAGCGUUGUUCGGAUUCACUGGGUUUAAAGGGUGCGUAGGUGGGCAGAUAAGUCAGUGGUGAAAUCUUCCGGCUUAACCGGGAAACUGCCGUUGAUACUAUUUGUCUUGAAUAUUGCGGAGGUAAGCGGAAUAUGUCAUGUAGCGGUGAAAUGCUUAGAUAUGACAUAGAACACCAAUUGCGAAGGCAGCUUACUACACAAUCAUUGACACUGAGGCACGAAAGCGUGGGUAGCGAACA
rnacentral:rRNA from 1 species